GACGAACGCUGGCGGCGUGCCUAAUACAUGCAAGUAGAACGCUGAAGGAGGAGCUUGCUUCUCUGGAUGAGUUGCGAACGGGUGAGUAACGCGUAGGUAACCUGCCUGGUAGCGGGGGAUAACUAUUGGAAACGAUAGCUAAUACCGCAUAAUAGCAGUUGUUGCAUGACAACUGUUUGAAAGGUGCAAUUGCACCACUACCAGAUGGACCUGCGUUGUAUUAGCUAGUUGGUGGGGUAACGGCUCACCAAGGCGACGAUACAUAGCCGACCUGAGAGGGUGAUCGGCCACACUGGGACUGAGACACGGCCCAGACUCCUACGGGAGGCAGCAGUAGGGAAUCUUCGGCAAUGGACGGAAGUCUGACCGAGCAACGCCGCGUGAGUGAAGAAGGUUUUCGGAUCGUAAAGCUCUGUUGUAUGAGAAGAACGAGUGUGAGAGUGGAAAGUUCACACUGUGACGGUAUCUUACCAGAAAGGGACGGCUAACUACGU
rnacentral:rRNA from 1 species